rnacentral:rRNA from 1 species
UACGAAGGGGGCGAGCGUUGUUCGGAAUUACUGGGCGUAAAGGGCGCGCAGGCGGCUCUGAAAGUCAGAUGUGAAAGCCCCGAGCUCAACUUGGGAAUUGCAGUGGAUACUGGCAGGCUGGAGUACGGUAGAGGAAGGUGGAAUUCCCGGUGUAGCAGUGAAAUGCGUGGAUAUCGGGAGGAACACCAGUGGCGAAGGCGGCCUUCUGGACCAGUACUGACGCUCAUGCACGAAAGCGUGGGGAGCAAACAGG